ensembl:lncRNA
AGAGGAGGACACAGAGGAGGAGGAGGGCACAGAGGAGGACGCAGAGGAGACUCCUGAACCUGUGUCCAGCGAUGAAGAGGAGGACAGUGAUGCAGAGGGGGAGGAAAGCAGUGAGGAGGAGGUACUGUCCGACUCCUCCUCUGUCCUCAGCCAAUCGGAGCUGCUUUCCUCUGACGCAGAGGAGGAGGGUGCAGAGGAGGACAGCAGCUCAGUGGAAGUGGAUUUGGAUGAGACAGACACUGAUGCAGAGGAUGAAGAGCUGACAUCCGAGUCUGUGGAGAGCACCAGCCCUGAUGCAGAGGAGGAGACAGAUGAUGCAGAGGAGGCCACAGAGGAGGAGGAGGAGCAGAAGGGGGAGGAUGCAGAGGAGGAGGGAGAUGCAGAGGAUUUGGGACUGGCAGGUUCAGCUGCAGUAGCUCUGAGUGUCCAGGAGGAGGCGCCACAGGAGGAGGAGAAGGAGGAGACAGAAGCGACAGGUGA